AUUGAACGCUGGCGGCAUGCCUUACUCAUGCAAGUCGAACGGUAACAGGUCUUCGGAUGCUGACGAGUGGCGAACGGGUGAGUAAUACAUCGGAACGUGCCUAGUAGUGGGGGAUAACUACUCGAAAGAGUGGCUAAUACCGCAUGAGAUCUACGGAUGAAAGCAGGGGAUCGCAAGACCUUGUGCUACUAGAGCGGCCAAUGGCAGAUUAGGUAGUUGGUGGGAUAAAAGCUUACCAAGCCGACGAUCUGUAGCUGGUCUGAGAGGACGAUCAACCACACUGGGACUGAGAAACGGCCCAGACUCCUACGGGAGGCAGCAGUGGGGAAUUUUGGACAAUGGGCGCAAGCCUGAUCCAGCAAUGCCGCGUGCAGGAUGAAGGCCUUCGGGUUGUAAACUGCUUUUGUACGGAACGAAAAGCCCCGGGUUAAUACCCUGGGGUCAUGACGGUACCGUAAGAAUAAGCACCGGCUAACUACGUGCCAGCCGCCGCCGUAA
rnacentral:rRNA from 1 species